AAAAAUCGAAUCUUUACAAUGUAAAAAACUCCCCUUAUAUCCUUGCUAUAUAAUUGUAAAGGUCACCUGAUUAAAAUGACUUGAAAUCAAUAUCUCAUAAUUUAGCAGCAGUUUUCCCAACAACAACAUAAUUUUGCAUGACUAGAUAUCAAUAUCUCAUCACAACAACAACAUAAUUUAUCAUAACUGCAUGACUUUGAAUCCCAAAUCCUAGCAUUCAUAAUUUAUCAUAACAUAAUCUUUCGCAGCAAACAGUUCAUCACAGCCACAACAUCAUUUUGCAACAAAGAUAAUGCAGACAAAUGUAUCCAUCUUUUGGUGUCAUGGUCAUCUAGCAUUGAGAACCUGCAAGAAAUUUAUCCAUCCGGCUUGUUUAUUGUGGCUUCUAUUGGUGCUUGAGAACCUAAUGAAACAAAAAGAGAUGAACAUUAGAGUGCCUUGAGAAAAACUAUUACAACAAAUAGCUUUGCUAGAUGAACAUUAGUUCUAUUCACAGAGGGAGUAAUACAUAUGAAAGUAUAAUAGUAGAUUUCGUCAAGUAUCGCCGGAACAUAGUAAGCAACUAAGCAUAAUACAGAGGGAGUAGAUAGCACAAGGCCAUUAUUCAGUUUAGAGUCAAGUUGUGCCUCAAACGGAAAGCAUCAGCCAUUAGGCUAAUCAAAAAAAUAGGAGAAAAAUAAAUGAAAAAACUGAUACAAACUAGUAAAUCAUGAAUUACUUCCACAGCAGUUGGUAUCUUCAAACAAAGAUAUUGCAUGUCUGAUACAGAAUUUGGGUAGGGUUCAACUAAUCAGCAAACAAUUGAUUUUUAAAGCAGGAUAGCAUCUUUCGGGAUGUCCUUUCUACUCCAGUUUGAUGUUCUUUCAUGGAAGUAUGUUAAAAAAAUCAAAUAACAUACUUAAACAGUCGUCAAACUGCUCAAAUUUUGGGCACUUAAAACAAUUAGUAAGAAUGAUUCGUUAAGAGCUGCUAUUGUUUCCUUGUGCCGAUAACUUGUAAGCUAAGAAAUAUUUGUCUCAAAUAAUUGAAUCAACUUCAUUUUAUUUUUAGAUGAAUUUCAGUUUGCUACAAUAGGAACAUUGACACAUACUGAAUGAUGGAAACUUUUUUUUGUCGAUAUGGAAGCAACCUCUCAAGUUGACAGCACACAUCUAACUACAGCUCACCUCUUUAGACAAGGAGAGGAAGAGGAACACACACAGCUAGCUACAGAACACCCAGCUAGCUACAAAACAAUUAUUAGCCAAUAGACAGAUGCAUAAUAAAAUUGAAUUCUCUGAAAUACUGUGCGUAUGUUGCUUCCCAAGAUAAAUCGAGAUCAUGGAUGAGAUUUUAGCAUGAUUAUCAUAAGAAAAAACAGGCUCAAUUUCUUUUGCCGCGGAGAUGGUUACAAAAAUUGCUAAGUUAACAGGUGUGCUAGUAGUUCAGAAUUUCUGAAGUGGUAAUGAUUAAGUGAACAGAUUCGGUUCGCUACUACUAUCCAUAUCCAAAACUAUACAUACUAUGGUGGCGAGUCAUAGAAAUUUCAAUUCCUUCAGUUAAGUACAGACAUUUCACAUUCCAUUUGAAAUCCAAACUCUACAGACGAGUCAAAUAUUACUGGUCCAUGAUACUGGCACACCAAGUCAGCCAACUACAACCAGCAGACCAUUGCUAGACUAGAUUCACCAACCAUGCAUAAAAAUGAGAGUCCAGAUCACCCCUUUUGCAUUGGAACCAGUGAAAAAAAUAGCGCGCUACAGAAAAAUAGCGGCGACCUUAAAAUAUGCUAUUAGCGUGCUAUAUCGUGCUAUAACGUGCUAUUAGCGAGAUGUUGUACAUUGAUAUAUUUAGUGAGGCAAUUCUCAAUACUCUAUAGCGUGCUAUUAGCGACGCUAUAGCGCGCUAUUUUUUUCAGUGAUUGGAACUGUGAAACUUGACAAUUUAAAAUAGUGACAACAUUACAGUUUAACAUAUAGUGACAACAAGGCACUCCAAACAGGCUGAAUAGCUGAUACUGAUUGAUUAUAUAUGCUAACUUCUAGCGUCACAAACCAAAGCACGAACGAGGCAAUAAAGGCAUAGCAAGGCAAUUCAUGGCGUUGAUGUUGUUCUUUGUCAUCACCUUGACAGGAUCACAGCAGUACAACAAGGUGGUGCACCCUUCUACUACCAGCCAAUGACGCUAAACCUAUGGGACACUGUCUUCUCAACUAUUGAUUGAAACCAAUCCAAGAAGUUUGAGAGGCCUGAAACCUAACACUAAUAAAAAUGGCCAGUACACGGCACAGUUCGGUUCAUAAGAGCAGAAAAGCAAACAACAUUCAGAUCAUCACUCAUGAAAGUACCACUACUGCAACAUUACCAUUCUAAAUCUCUGCUUGCCAAAAGUAGCACUACUCAUAAGCACAAAUCCCACCCAGCACUAACACGACUACUACUUGGCGACAACCAGAGUGAACAACCAAAUUUGCAACUAGAUACAUGCAGUGCAGUCUAAGAGGAGGAGAACUUGGUGACUGCCUUGGAGGCCUCGGAGACAGCGUGCUUGGCGAGCUCGCCAGGGAGGACGAGGCUAUAGCCAUGGCCGGGCGGAUGGAAGAAAUUAGCUGAGGAGGGGAAAGGGAGGAGGUGAGGCGAGGGGAGACGAUGACUUACCGCUGGGGUAUACUGGAGGAGUACGCCGGCGUCGAGGCGUCAGGGCCGUGGCGUCUUGAGGAGGACGAGUCGGGCGGCGGCGUCUUGACGAGUCGGGCGGCGGCUUCUCCUCCAAAUCCCCGAGGCCCCCCUCGAGG
rnacentral:lncRNA from 1 species